UGUAAGGGUCUCGCUAUUCUCCCCUGUCACUGAGUCCUGACCUUGGAAUCCGGUGGUAAUUCUGUAUACACAUUCAGAAAAUAGCGACUCUCUUAGAGUUAAUGUGUGUGUGUGUGUGCGCGUAGAGUUAAUGUGUAUGUGUGCGUGCGCGCGCGCGCGAGCGUUCGUACGUGCAAACAGAAAGAGCGAGUUAAAAGGAGAUGUUUUUGCGUGUAGGGUUGUGUGCAGGCUUUUGGAUGGGUUUAUCAAAUGGUUGUGUGUGUGUGCGCGCGCGUGCGUGCGUGCGUAUGCCUGAGUUGUGUGGAGUAUCCAAAUAUAGCCAGACUCAGAGAACGAUGUUCACUAUGUUAUGAGACAAGGAAAGAAGGUGACUAGGUUUGGUGCUCAGGUGACCUGUACAAAUACUACGAAUGGAGGAUUGAUGGACUUGUUGUGGUUAUUCCAGUCCAAGAGUCUGAGCUAAAAAGAAACAGACAGAAAGAGAGGAAUGGAAAUCUGAGUCAACAGAUCAGGAGAGCCCAUAACAGAUGUUAGAAACGUGAAUAAUGACAUUUGAGUGUGUUUUCUGAAUGCCUGUUAUCAUGUCAUUCAUGUUUAAGCUGCUGAAUGCCUUCUUAUGCUCACAUUUCUGAAAUGUUUUUGCAUGUUUUGCAAUGUUUUCGGCAUCUUUUCUGUAUUGCUUUUGAUUGUAACCAGGUAUAUUGAUUACAUUAAUUUAGAGGUAAUCUAUAAGUUUAUUGUUGUUUAUUUUUUAACGAAAAUAUGACGUCAUCCUGAAAUUUCUUUCUUCUGAGUCUGAGUACGUCAGUGAUACUAUUAUGCAAUAAGUACUGUAAAUCAUUGAUAUAAGCAGUGAUUUAUUAUUUUCUAUUAAUUCUUAAUGAGAAUACAAGUGAUGUUUUCAUUCUCAUUAAUUUAGCAGUUUUUAUAAAUUAAGUGUGAAACUGACAUCGUGUUAGUAAACAUACCAUGCGUUACAUCCAAAGCUCAGACGUACGUCAGAUUGUAAAACCUCAGCACAGUCAGACUUAUUUUUUCCAACUAUAUAAAUAGUAAAUUUAUAGUGACCUUCUGUGAGUGAUCAUUGAUUUUAUAUCAAAAUAAAAUGUAUAAAUUGCAGUUGCAUACAUAUCGUUGCCAAUUUUAUCUUAAAUCUACAAUCUAAAAUCUAUGUUUGUGAUUCAAUCUACAAAAAUAAACAUUAUGCAAGCAGCAAACAAAGCAAUGUGUAUAUGAAUAUGUAGUAAGCCUUAAUGCAGCAUGUUGCACAUGUAUAGAUCUGUAUUGUGUUCCACUUUUCCAUAGGUUGAAUGAUGACUAUAUUGAUCUACAUGUUUUUUUAAAGAAACAUAAACGCUUAUGAUGUCUUUUUAAAACUUUUCAGUUAAAUCUGUUAAUUGAAUUCAACAUAUAAGUAUAUGCAUUCUUUUCAAUGUUAUAUUCUUUUCAGCUGUUAUUGAUUUGAAUCUAGUCAUGAAUAACAGCAUCCUCAUGGUUAUGUUCUUAGUGAUAUAUUUUGGGGCUUUUAUGCCUUGAAUGACAGCGUACAGUGGAGAGUGGAUAGGAAAAUAUUUGGAUGAGAGAGGGGAGCAGGACUGGCAAAGAACCACUGAGAACAGGAAUCGAACCCAGGUCGCCCUGAGCGCACUGGUGCUAUGUGUCGGCACAAUAACCACAGGGCAACUGACAACGACAUUGUCAUUGUUUCAAAGAGUAUUACUCAUUUACAUAAUUUUUCUUCACUCUUACCAGGUUCUUUUUUUUUGCGUUAAACAGACCAUGGCCCGGUUUCACAGAAAAGGCUUAAGGGUAGUCACCGACAUUUCAACUGUCUUAAAUGAAAACAACAUGCCCUGAAAUAUCUUAUAUGUCAGUCCCAUUAUUUUGUCUCAUGAUGAACACCAGUAAUGUUUUUUCAAAUGGAUUUUUUUAUAAAAGUGACUUAAAUAUACUAAUUUAUCUAAGGCCUGGUCCUGGCUUAAGCUAGGCAUUGUCUUUGAAACCGGGCCUAUGUGUUGGGAGACAUAACCUACUGCAAACUAGGGGUAGCACAGAAUGAGUUUAUACCCACUAUGUUUUUACCCCUGUUGUUCUUUGGUAGUUUUUUAGUGGCCCAUGACAACACAAUAUGGUUUAUGUGCCUCAUGCUGUAGUAAGAUUUAAAUAACAUUACAUUAAAAUUAUAAAGAUAGAAAUUCAUUUGACUUACCUACAUCUGAUUUAUACAUUAUUGUUUUUUAGGGAAAGUGAUACAUACGUUAUAUACAAAGCAUAUCCCCUAUGCACUGCCUUUUUUCUUUGCACUUGACAACAUGACAGUUUUAAAAUAUCACAGUAAUUUAAGCUUUUGAAAUGUAUAACAAUUAUUCACUUGACCUUAAUGUGUAUUUUUUUAGGUUUCAAUAAUAAGGAGUACUGAGUCUGGAACGCAACAGCAAAAGUAAUGCUCACAGCCGAGAUGUGGUCACAAUUGGCUGCAUUGUGUCUCAAGUUGGCCAAAGUGAUCACUAAAAGACGUUCUUGAAGAUUUGUAUCUGCAUAUUUGAAACAGAACAGUAAGUCAACAUAGAUUUUAAAUUGAUAUGAUCAAAUAGUUAUUAUAUCACUUUGAACAUUUUCUUGUUGCUAUGCCUCUAAGAUCUCUUAAUUUUGUCUAAACAUUACAUUAAGACAGAAGGAAUAUGAUAAAAUAAUAUGUAUCGUAUAUAGAAUAUACUACAGCCUUUCGCAAAGUUGUAUUUCUGCACAUUUAAACACUGUGUUAAAAACUCAGUAAUUUCUGUCUGCAAUUGAAUAUAUUUUAUUUAUUACUUUAGUAAAUACUGUACCUCUGAUAACAAAAUAUAAAAUUGGAAAUACUGUUCUUUAAAUAGUUGUCUUUCACGCUAAUAACAAGACUUGGAUGCGUUGAAAAAAGCAUUAUACAGGUAGCUUCUUUUCAGAAAGGCGCUGUCUAUAAAUGAAUGUCAAAUGAUUAUGACAUUUUACUACCCAAACCACAUUUCCUUGUCAAUUGAUUUGAAAUUAAAGCUUCUUCUGACUGUCAUGUGUCAUGUAUAGAAACAAGUGGAAUUGGACCCAACUGGGACAUGUAAAAAUACUAAAACAAAAUUCUAAUAAAAUAAACAUACACAUCAUUUUCUAGCAUUGUUACACAUUUCAUUUUAUGGGAUUUUUAAGGGAUGUAGAUUUCAUCUAGAUUGACAUUGGCUAAUAGAAUGACCAGGGCCUUGGUUGCUUAUAUCAUACUUAUAUCAUAGCACAAACUGCUGUGAAGCUAACAAAGUCUCAUAAAGAUAGUAAUGGAUUUUGACAGAUCAAACAUGACAUUUGACCAUAAGCAUAAUACAUGAAAAAAUUAUAUGAGCAUUGAGAGGGUUUAACUUGAAUUAUUUGAAUCAAUAAUUUUGUUUUUUAAUUGUCUGUAUUUGUAAAUGAAGGCUGGUGGUCAGAAAACAAUUUAAACUAACAAUGAAAAAUAUUUGAACAAAGAUAAAAAAUACACAAUACAAACUAUAAUUUUUGGUCUGCUCAUUAACAGAAAAAACUAAGCUUUCAUUCUAAAGAAAAAAUAUUUUGAGAAAACUCUUUAUUAUUAUUUUUUAUUAUGGGUGAUUCAAUAAAAUUAAGAAUCACUAAAAAUGUAUGGAGGCAUUUAAUGCCUAAAGAAAACCUCCUUAAUAAACAUAAUGUCUAAGUUUCAGUUUAUCAAAACAUUUAACAUUUGAACAUUUUUAUAUUGUGAUGCGUUACAAACCAUACUUUGCAAGUACUAAAAAGACUUGGUAAGUCUGACAACAUAGUAUUGUGGAGAUGCUCUAUUAUUAAAGUUUUUGUAAAACCAGUUAACAAUUUUUUAGGCUUCCUUUAAAAUCUAUGUAAAGUUGCAUUAGGAUUAAAUGUACUAAUAAUGGUGUUUGUUUUAAAAUAAUAAAUUUAGUUUUCCUUUUGGAUAGCUAACUAAAAAUGUUUGUUUUGUGUAUCAACUUUCAAGCAGAUCUAAUUGCUGUAUAUUUUUCCUCUUUAAGGAUUGAAAUGAUGUUCUUUUACUUGUCAUCAUACUGUUCUUGUACCGGGAUCUUUUUACAAGUUAUUUUGUACAUUAUAUUGUUGAGUUUAAUGAGCAGUUGCAUAGAUUGUUCUACAAACGAAUAUUACCAUAUUGUGAAGAUUAUCCUAAUGUGAUGAUGAAUGUAUUGCAAAAUAGAAAAUAUGCACUUUGAGUUUACGUUUGUAUGUGUAAUUCUUUUAAGAUUAAAUGCCAAAAAAGCUUCUCGUCAUUUAUUUCAGUCACUAUGAUUAAAAUCAAUAAAAAUUAAGCUAAUAAAAGAGGGAGAGAGCAAGACAGAGAGUGAGAGGAAGAAAAAAAGAGCAUUGCACAAGUUAUGUAACGGUAUGACAUGUAUGUUAAAUUUGAAGAAAUAUAUGCUCUUUCUUAGUAGGUUGCUGCGAUUCAUUUAAUCCAAUAUUUAAACUGGGUAAUAACAAAAUACAGAGGUCCAAGGACACAGGGAUUAAACUAUAUUUUAUAUCUUAAAAUGUGUCUGUGAUAUUUGAAUAAAGCACAAUUCUUUUUUAAUGUUCAGCUGAAAACAAAUCUUUUUAAAUGUGGAGUUUAAAUCAUUUAUCUUUCCAAAUAUGUGUAAUGAUUGUGAGAAGUAUCUUUGCAUGCAAGCAAUGUUAGACGUUUAUGCUUUGUGGUGUUGCAGCUAU